ensembl:snoRNA
AUCCUUUUGAGGUUCAAGAGCGUGAUGAUUGGGUUUUCACGCUAAUGUGUGAGAAGUGCCUCCCUCAAAUCUUGUUAUGACUCGAUGUUGGCAAAUUAUGUCUGAAG